rnacentral:rRNA from 1 species
AGGACGAACGCUGGCGGCGUGCCUAACACAUGCAAGUCGAACGAGGUUAAUCCGGUAGCAAUACUGGUGACUGCCUAGUGGCGAACGGGUGAGUAGCACGUGAGCAACCUGCCCCGAAGACCGGGACAACACCGGGAAACCGGUGCUAAUACCGGAUACCCCACCUAAUCGCAUGAUCUGGUGAGGAAAUGGAUUCCGCUUCGGGAGGGGCUCGCGGCCUAUCAGCUAGUUGGUGAGGUAACGGCUCACCAAGGCUUCGACGGGUAGCUGGUCUGAGAGGACGAUCAGCCACACUGGGACUGAGACACGGCCCAGACUCCUACGGGAGGCAGCAGUGGGGAAUCUUGCACAAUGGGCGAAAGCCUGAUGCAGCAACGCCGCGUGAGGGACGAAGGCUUUCUGAGUUGUAAACCUCUUUCAUCAGGGACGAUUGUGACGGUACCUGCAGAAGAGCCCGGCACUACGUGCCAGCAGCCGCGGUAA